UUUUUUUUUUCCUUUCCCCCGCGGAUCCCUUCCUCAGCCAGUCGGUUCUCCACGCGAAAAAGAAAAGCUCGCGCGGCAGAACUCGGGCGGCGGCGCUCCGGCGCGGGCGCAGCUCCGCUGGCCACCGGGCGUGCGGCCCUGCUCCGCCGGCGCCCCUGUCCGGUGGCAGCGCGGCCCUGCUCCGGCCGUCGACUACCGUCGCCGUACGCCGCGAGGUCCCAGAGGUCGCUCGUCGCCAUACGCCGUCGGGACGUUGUGGAGCUCGCACUCUGCGAGCUGCUGCGCGAGGGCAACGCCGGCGGCGUGCUCCUUCAAUUUCUCCUCUAAUCUCCUCCGGCCACGAGGACGAAUGACCUGCAGCGCCGGUGCGGCAGAGGGCUGCGAGCGGCCCGGCUCCGGCCCCGGCGCGGGCACAGCUCCGCCGGCGCCCCCGUCCGGCGGCUGCGCGGCCCUGCCCUGGCGAGCGCACUUCCCGGCUUCGGCCCCGGCGCGGGCGCCGCUCCGCCCUGCUCCCCGGCUCCGCUCCGCCCGAGCAGGUGCCGGGCUUCCCUCCGCUCGCGCAGGCCCCCUGUCCGCCAGCGCUGGGAGGAAGAAGAUGCUGACGAGUGGGUGCGCUCGUCAGUGGGGGAGAGAGAGUUGAGUGGGGUGGGUGGACCCUGAAUGACACGUGGGGUCCGCUCGUAACUGUUUUCAAAAGGCUAUAGCUAUUUGCUUUCAGUAUUUUCACAA